rnacentral:rRNA from 1 species
GACGGAGGGUGCAAGCGUUGUUCGGAUUGACUGGGCGUAAAGGGCGUGUAGGCGGUCGGCCAAGUCUGAUGUGAAAGCCCGAGGCUCAGCCUCGGAAGUGCGUCGGAAACUAGUCGGCUGGAGCGCGAUAGAGGAGGGUGGAAUUCCUGGUGUAGCGGUGAAAUGCGUAGAGAUCAGGAGGAACACCCGUGGCGAAGGCGGCCCUCUGGCUCGACCCUGACGCUGAGGCGCGAAAGCGUGGGGAGCGAACGGG